UGUGCACAAAUGUGAUUAAAGGGGUAAAGGGUAUGAUAUAUUUUGUAAUUCAAAAUUGUUUGCCAUUUCAAAAAUCAUUCUGUGUUUAAAAUGGAUUAGUGGAUUCAAAACUAAAUUACUCUAUGAAUAGAAAGGCUGGAAUUUCACUUGGGAAUUGAACCCUGUACCAGUAAAUGAUACACAACACAGAAGCCUAUCUACUGAUAAAAUAAAUGAAAAACAUCUUUGUGUAGCCUGCAUUUCCUCAGCAGAGCAGCAGGUGGGAGAGUUCUGGAGAUCAGUGUAAUCAUGAACAUUAUCUGUUGUCAUAAUAGACACCUGAGCACAGGGACCAUGAGUCCACAGUCACACUGACACCAAACAGACCAGACCAAUCUGAUUAAACAUGGCAUGUGCUCAGAGGAAGCAGCCGCAGCUCAAUUCCAUGCAUUUCUGUUUGGACCCCCACAGGAUGAAAGUUUUUUCCACAGACUGCAACUACACUUCUAAUGAAAAACUGCACUUCAUGGUUAUGGCUUGUGGUUUUCUUAAAGAACAGCACUGACUGUAGUUCAAAAAAAUUAUCAUUUAAAAGGAUACUUGGAAUCACAUCAAAAUGGGAAAGACUACGGAGAAGCCCAAGGCCAGGAAACACAGACUAUCAGUCGGUUAGCGGACCUUACACUCAAAACCACAGCAGGAAACUCAAAUCUGUAGUUUCAGGGUGGAGAAAGACUAACGGGAAAUCAUGCCAAUCAGCAAUCGAAGCUCAAGGGAUUAGAUAAGAAAGUUAUUUCAAGAUAAAAAAAGUGAACAACAGAGGCCUGACAAACUCAGUACAGAACAUCUCAUCUAAAAGAGAGAUCUAUUAUUAGACCGGUCUCUCUUGCUCUGCAGAUAAAGCCAUUUUAUAGUCACGUUCACAUGCUUUGAUAUCAUUCUCUCACAGCUCUCAGGAACUGAUCCAAACGUCAUGUCUGAAAGCUCUUGUUAUCACUGACAACAUUCAGACGAAAGGACUUCAUCCUGUGCAUUCCUGUGAGCUAAACUAACACCCCCCCACACACGGCAAAGCUGAGGCUUUAUCUGUUCACACAGUCAAAAACAAACAAGUGCCGCUCUUAAUCUAGUUUCAGCUGCAAUCAUUAACUCUGGCUGAGAAGGGAACCAUCGGGAACAGCCUGCUUUCCUUUUCAGAGAUAAACACUGGCCACAUUAUUUCAUCCAGGUUCCAUUAUGAAGAGGAAAUGUUUUAUUUGUUUAGUUUAAGUGAUUCAUCUCGCCUUCAUCUACUUUUAUAAAAUUGUUAUACUUUUUCUGAGGGACUAAAACACGAGUAUCAGCGAGCUUACUGGUGGUCAGCAUUCGGUCCCAGCAUUUUAUGAACAAUUAUGCUGGCAGUGGCACGCACCUCAAUGACAAAGCUGCCAUAUCAACAUUACCCUGAAGUAGGACAGUAACACGACACCAGCCAGCUCGAGGAACUCAAUCCCUCAUGUGUUAGACGUAUGUGAGAGGGAGAAAGAGGAAGAAACAGACAGAUGGCUUGUGUUUUAAUGGCAUAAUACUGGAAUGCAGAGUCAGUGUCAACAUCUCAUGGUUAUCUGAUGUACUCGCUCUCAGACCGUCCAACAGUAAUCUGGACUACGACUGUUUACUUGUGUGUAAGACUUAGUUUUUAACUUCAAAAUGUUCUCGAAUACUGCUUUCUAAAGUGAAAAAGAGGUCUAAAAAAGGAGAGAAAUCAGCACGGCAUGCAUGAAAACAGUCCAAAACGGUUGUGAACAAACAUGCUGGUGGAUUUGGAUGUGAGAGGAGAACAGGGGGUGGACUUUUUUGACUGGAGAAACAGAAUUAUUGACUCCUAUUUUGAUUAGAAAUUACAGUUUAAAGUUAAACAAGGCAUUAAUUGAUUAUUUGGAAAUGAUGGUGACGUUUUUAAUCAGCUGUUUGGACUCAUUCUGACGGCACCCAUUCACUGCAGAGGAUCCAUUAAUGAGCAAGUGGUGUAAUGCUAAAUCUGUUCUGAUGAAGAAACAAACUGAGUAAA